rnacentral:rRNA from 1 species
GACGGAGGGUGCAAACGUUGUUCGGAAUCACUGGGCAUAAAGAGCACGUAGGCUGCGCGCUAAGUCAGGUGUGAAAUCCCCCGGCUCAACCGGGGAACUGCACCUGAUACUGGCGUGCUCGAGGACGGUAGGGGUGAGUGGAACUCCAGGUGGAGCGGUGAAAUGCGUAGAUAUCUGGAGGAACACCGGUGGCGAAAGCGGCUCACUGGACCGUCUCUGACGCUGAGGUGCGAAAGCUAGGGUAGCGAACGGG